CCGACAAUGGCACUCAAAUUCUCUCAUUUUCUCAUGCCCUCUCUGUCACAUUCGUAGCUCGAUCACCCUCUUCUGGGACUUAGCGUUCUGAGCAUGCGGUUUUUGCAACGGCCAUUUCGUACCGCUUCGAUCUCAUCACCUUCUCUCCCCUCCCAUCUUCCUUUUUGAUCCUCGCUUUGGGGCUUGCAAAUUUUUGACAUGUCAAAUGAGAGUGACGCCAAAAUGUAAACAGCAAGUGUUUGCGUGUGCGGUGAUUUUAAUAAACAUAAAAUCAACCACGGAAGCAUGAUUUAGUUGUGGUGGAAGCGAAAAAACAAUGCUUGGAGCAUGGAAUAAAGCCGAAUGAAAUUUCUAACCUUCACGCACGACGCCGCCGCUAGGUAAGGUAUGUUUAUGUGUAAUUACGAUCAUUGUUCCAUUUUAGGGUGUGAUUUGUGCAAUAUAACCGUUCCUGGCGGGGAUAGUCAAUAGUCGAUACCCUUUGCAGCUGUGAAGGGGUGCAGAAGAAGGGGCUCGCUACCACCCUUCUCACACCCCGACGCUUUUUCCGCGGAUGAAGAAUAUGUUCCUGGCUGUAUGCGCUAAAUCUAACGGUGAUCCGUAUCGUGAACGAAUCGGCAUAGGCGGUGCCUGUCCCCGGCGGUUUGUGAAAAUGGUACACAACGGUAUAGAGUACGAUAGACAACAUGCAACUGAUCAGCGAAGUGCGCCACCUGAUGCUGGCGUUCGGCAAGACACAGAAGGAGAUGGCAUAGAAGUUCGACGAGUGGAACAAGGACGUGCUAGAUUCGUUCC